UACGUAGGGUGCGAGCGUUAAUCGGAAUUACUGGGCGUAAAGCGUGCGCAGGCUGUUCUGUAAGUCAGAUGUGAAAUCCCCGAGCUCAACUUGGGAACUGCGUUUGAAACUACAGGACUAGAAUAUGUCAGAGGGGGGUAGAAUUCCACGUGUAGCAGUGAAAUGCGUAGAGAUGUGGAGGAAUACCAAUGGCGAAGGCAGCCCCCUGGGAUAAUAUUGACGCUCACGCACGAAAGCGUGGGGAGCAAACAGG
rnacentral:rRNA from 1 species